rnacentral:misc_RNA from 1 species
CGACCCUCAGGGCCCCUUGAAAAAGGGGACCUGGCGUUGGGGGACGGCACCCGCAGGGCCACCGAGCCCUGCCGCCGCCCCCGAAAUGCAGUGGCGGCCACGUCGCAGCGACCUCCGCGUAGUAGCAAAACACCUCGCGGAAAGGGAGCGCGUCGCGGCCACGCCGUGAAACUGUGGUUGUUGGACGGACGCCCGCAACUCCGCGGGAGCCCAUCACCAACACACACACACACACACCCCUAG